AACGAACGCUGGCGGCAUGCCUAACACAUGCAAGUCGAACGAGACCUUCGGGUCUAGUGGCGCACGGGUGCGUAACGCGUGGGAACCUGCCUUUAGGUUCGGAAUAACUCAGAGAAAUUUGAGCUAAUACCGGAUAAUGUCUUCGGACCAAAGAUUUAUCGCCUUUAGAUGGGCCCGCGUAAGAUUAGCUAGUUGGUGGGUAAAGGCCUACCAAGGCGACGAUCUUUAGCUGGUCUGAGAGGAUGAUCAGCCACACUGGGACUGAGACACGGCCCAGACUCCUACGGGAGGCAGCAGUGGGGAAUAUUGGACAAUGGGCGAAAGCCUGAUCCAGCAAUGCCGCGUGAGUGAUGAAGGCCUUAAGGGUUGUAAAGCUCUUUUACCCGAGAUGAUAAUGACAGUAUCGGGAGAAUAAGCUCCGGCUAACUCCGUGCCAGCAGCCGCGGU
rnacentral:rRNA from 1 species